rnacentral:rRNA from 1 species
UCUGGUGGUUUUAGCGAGAAGCGCAAACCCGAUCCCAUUCCGAACUCGGCCGUUAAUCUUCUCCGCGCUGAUGGUACUAAGUCUCAAGGCUUGGGAGAGUAAGUCGCUGCCAGAC